GUCUGAAAAAAAAAAAAAAUCUACAAGUGCAUCCUUGACCUCUAGCUCUAAGUUUACACGUCUGUUGGCAAAGUUCCACUUGAAUGUCCUAACAUCUCAAAUUCUAACAACCUUGACUUUAUCUCUCAAAUAUGAUUCUUGGUUAGGAUUAGCCACAAGGGAAAUCUGUGAAGAUAGGAAAGGCAGAAGUGAAGCAGCAGCCAUUACAGUCUGAAGGUCAGUCUAGGACACUAGGCACAUCUCACGCACAUUGCUGCUCAUCUGCUGGCUCACCCUGGUGCGAGGAGUAGCUAAGUCUAGAGCUCUUGCAGUUCCUACUGAAUAUUCUUGUUUCUGCAAGUCUGGGUGAGACGCAGGUGCAGCGCAUGGCUCCUAUAAGCACCUGCACCAGGCUACUGCAGGCACCUGCCUCAUUGAGGUGUAAGUGAUAAGAGACAGAUGCUCAGUCUAGUUUAUCCCCAUGGGAUCCAGAUUCUCUUUGUGGGCUCCAGUUUGUUCCUGCCCAUGUUCACUCUAGCUUUUCUGCCUAAUGGUAAGCAGUACUGAUUUACAGAAAUUUCAAGACCAAUACCAGACACAGAGAUGUUAGACUCCUUCAUAGACCUUUUCCCAUGCUCACAAUUUCAUGAGACUUAACCCCUAAAAAAAAAAAAAAA
rnacentral:lncRNA from 10 species